rnacentral:rRNA from 1 species
UGGGGAAUUUUGGACAAUGGGCGCAAGCCUGAUCCAGCAAUGCCGCGUGCAGGAUGAAGGCCUUCGGGUUGUAAACUGCUUUUGUACGGAACGAAACGGUGAGCUCUAAUAAAGUKUGCUAAUGACGGUACCGUAAGAAUAAGCACCGGCUAACUACGUGCCAGCAGCCGCGGUAAUACGUAGGGUGCGAGCGUUAAUCGGAAUUACUGGGCGUAAAGCGUGCGCAGGCGGUUAUAUAAGACAGAUGUGAAAUCCCCGGGCUCAACCUGGGACCUGCAUUUGUGACUGUAUAGCUAGAGUACGGUAGAGGGGGAUGGAAUUCCGCGUGUAGCAGUGAAAUGCGUAGAUAUGCGGAGGAACACCGAUGGCGAAGGCAAUCCCCUGGACCUGUACUGACGCUCAUGCACGAAAGCGUGGGGAGCAAACAGGAUUAGAUACCCUGGUAGUCCACGCCCUAAACGAUGUCAACUGGUUGUUGGGUCUUCACUGACUCAGUAACGAAGCUAACGCGUGAAGUUGACCGCCUGGGGAGUACGGCCGCAAGGUUG